GCGCAUCAAGUUAAAGGAUAUUUAUUACUAGUCUAUUACAUUCUUUGGUUUUUACCUUUCAAUCAUGAACAUGUUGUCGAUCCUAAACUCAUAAUCGUUGGAACGUGAAAACCCGAACCAAAAAGAACAGCCACAUUACAUGCAAAACUAUGGAUCCAAAUACAAUGAAAACAUAUUGACAAAAAUACCUACCUAUAUUGUAUUAUCCUUAUGUAAAUAUAACAUCUUAAUCUAACAAGCUUCUAUUAGCUUCAGAGCCCCAUUUUUCCACUUGCUGGCCUUCUUGUGACAAGAAAGAUGAAAAUCAAGUCAACGUUUCUUCUUUGUUAUCCAUUUGCUUGAGGCUCUCCCUGACCUUCUUGUCCAUGUGUUGUUUCUUCUAUAUUGUGAAGUAGGGAAUGAAUACAAUGGUUGAAAUUUUUUCUAAUUUGAUGAGUUUUUUUUUCUAUACCUUAUAACCAAACAACAUAGUGGAUUGGAAAAUAGUCCAACAGUUUUGAAGUCUGAUCAAACUGCGUGUGAGCAGAGUUUCUACAAGUUAGGAUUUAUUUCAUCAUCUCAAUGAGUGUGGUUGUGGUUGGCCUCACCUUCAAUUGCAAAAAAAUUGUGUUUCAAAGCUAACAUAUUUUUGGAUGCAUCAUUGUUGAGUUGAACUCUUGUAGAUCCUGUUUAUAUACCCAACGAUACCCGCAUUUCUUCACCUCCACAUCCAAGCCUCCAUUUCUAUCGGUUUUAACAUGGAAACCAUCAUACACAACAUCAUAGGAUGACUCCCAAGGGAAAUAGAUUAGCCAUAUGUGAUUUGAUUUAACAGUGAUAAGCUUUCCAUCGAAAAUUACUGGGAGAAAGGCAGCGUGGUUUAAUGGUGCAAACAGGAUCAUAUGAGGUAUCCAUUGAGAACUUCUUGUCACCAUUGGAUAAUGAGGUGCUAUAGAAAAUACUACACAACAUAAAAAGCCAGUAAUAUUAUGUACAUUGUCCUGCAUUACGGGAGAUACUGGUAAUGAACUACCGACACUCUGAUUGUUGAACCAACUUGGUAUUUCACUUCCUGGAAUGACAAUACCGAUAUUAAAGAAGGCACGGUAAUCAUUGUUCACUAGAAUGAAUUGUGUCAACCAUGAAUAUGUCAUUCUACUGCAUUGUUCCCUAUCGCCUAAGUUAGGACAGUUGAAAAUGAGCAAUCCUGUUCUCUUCCAAUAUUUGCUCUGACGAAGAUCCUGCUCGAUAGUCGUCGGGAAAGGAAGCUCAGGCAAAGAUUCUAACUUCUUGCAAUGCUCCAAGUUCAAAUAUACAAGUUUGGAAAGUUCCCUAAGGCUAGGCAGUGUCACAAAAUUGUUCCCCCCGAGAUUUAACAUUUCUAACCAGCGCAAACAUCCAAUAGCCUCGGGGAGUUGGCUUAAUCCACAAUAGCUAAUAUCAACUUCACGUAAACAAUAUUUGUCAUGCAUAAUUGUGUUUGUUGUGGGAGUGGGAAACAAGGAAUGGUAAUGCAUUGCGGUCCAUUUGCAGAUGGAGGACGUUGAUUGUGAAUGUGAUGCACUUUCACAUAUAUUCAAAUGCCUUGUAUUGUUAAACUCUUUAAAACACCCCGAACAUCCAGACAUAUUUAGAUCUUUAAGAGAGCUGAAACCAAAUAUGUUGUUUGGUAUGCUUUCUAGAUUUUGGCAACCUUUUAAAUUCAAGGAAACAAGCUUUCCUAGAAACUCAAUAGAUGGAUCCAACUGCACAAGUUCUAUACAUCCUUCAAGGUUUAGCCGCUCAAGAUUUGGGACUUCUCCAAAAUCUGACAUCUUUACUAGGUUUUUAGAGUGGCUCAGAUCCAACUUUCUCAAUUUCGGCA
rnacentral:lncRNA from 1 species